GGCGUCAAAUACAAUGUCUACAUCUAAUGCAAAUUCAUGAGCAUUUCGUUUGGUGGUGAAAGCUUUGACGGGAUCAAGUGUUUGCCGUUUAGAGAUCAUAUCUUAGUUAUUUGUUAUUUGUAUUAGUUAUUAUUUAGUCACUUGUAAUUCGUAAUAUCACUUUAUUAGUUAUUAUGGCUAGCAGCUUAGAUGCAUGGAUUGUAAAUUGUAAUUUUUUUUAUGUCCUUUGCUUAACUUUUUUUGGUUUCUUAUUUUUUUUCCCUUUUAUUUGGACUUUUGGAUGUUUAGUUGGCAUGUUUAGUUGGAUGUUUAGUUAAGAAUUA